GAAUUUCUAUUCUAUUGCUUUGACCAUGGCGCUACAGAGGCUGUUCGGGCAGAGACUCCUCACCGACCAGAGCAGGGAGCAGCUAGCUAGCCAU